GGUGAUGCGCAUGCGCGUGCCGCCUGCGCGGAAGAGGUGCGCGCGCAGGGGCGGCCGUUAGCGCCGGUAACGGCCGAGCUGAGGCCCUGCGCGGUGGGGCUGCCCGCGGGAGGCCAUGGCGCGGCGCGCCGUGGCGGGGUUGCUGCUGCUGGAGGCCGCGGGGCUGGUGGGCGCCAUGCUGCUCUACCGGCGCAUGGAGCACAGCCAAGACUUCAGAUAUACAAUGCAGAAGAGGUUUCCAUCAAUUCUGGAAGUUUAUUACAAAAGCAAUGAGUGGUCUGGAAUUCAUGGCAUAAGGGAGAAUGACCAAAUGACGUGGUUAAGCAGCAAGAAUUAAACCCUUUGUGCCUGAACUGUUUCUUCUUUUUGAUAAUACUUCUCACAUCCCUAUUGUGAAGCCACUUGUCACGCUCUACUUCCCACUUGAGCUGUUUGACACCUGAAAGAGGGAAGAUGAGAAUUAAGGAGCUGAUGGAUACCUCAGAGGAUAGACACUUCACAAUAAUUGUCAAACAAUUAUAUUGAACGUGGAUAAAUCAUGUAAAAGUUAAUACCUAGCUACUGUAUAAAUGCCAAUAAAGUGCAAACUGAUGAUUUUUUUUGA